rnacentral:lncRNA from 1 species
GAGGAGGGUAUCCGCGCACGGGGAGGCCCAGUGUGGAGUAUAGGGCCGGAGUACUGUAGGGUAGCAGGACCUUGAACGCCAGAGCCCGAGCAGGGUAACAGUGAAACAUAAGGAUAUCUCUGAGGAACACAGCAUUCAUUUACAUUUGAGAUAAACUGCUUCACUUAUGCACAUUGUGUAUGGCAUGCAUGAAGAUAAAAAUGUAAGUUUCUCCCAUAGGAGUUGAAAUUGCAAGCCUUGUAU